rnacentral:rRNA from 1 species
CUCAGUAACGGCGAGUGAAGCGGCAAGAGCUCAAAUUUGAAAUCUGGCCCCCUUGGGGGUCCGAGUUGUAAUUUGGAGAGGAUGCUUCGGGCGUGGCCCCCAUCUAAGUGCCCUGGAACGGGCCGUCAUAGAGGGUGAGAAUCCCGUCUGGGAUGGGUGGCCUCGCCCGUGUGAAGCUCCUUCGAAGAGUCGAGUUGUUUGGGAAUGCAGCUCUAAGAGGGUGGUAAAUUUCAUCUAAAGCUAAAUAUUGGCCGGAGACCGAUAGCGCACAAGUAGAGUGAUCGAAAGAUGAAAAGCACUUUGAAAAGAGAGUUAAACAGCACGUGAAAUUGUUGAAAGGGAAGCGUUGUCCCCCAGACGCACCCGGGAGGGUUCAGCCGGCACUUGUGCCGGUGCACUCCUUCCUGGGUGGGCCAGCGUCGGUUUGGGCGGCCGGUCAAAGGCCCUGGGAAUGUAGCUCCCUCCGGGGAGCCUUAUAGCCCGGGGUGCCCUGCGACCUGCCCGGACCGAGGAACGCGCUUCGGCUCGGACGCUGGCGUAAUGGGGGUCAACGGCCCGUCUUGAAACACGGACCAAGGAGUCUAACAUCUAUGCGAGUGUUCGAGUGUCAAACUCGUCCGCGCAGUGAAAGCGAACGGAGGUGGGAGCCCCGUCCCGGGGCGCACCAUCGACCGAUCCUGAUGUCUUCGGAUGGAUUUGAGUAAGAGCAUAGCUGUUGGGACCCGAAAGAUGGUGAACUAUGCCUGAAUAGGGCGAAGCCAGAGGAAACUCUGGUGGAGGCUCGCAGCGGUUCUGACGUGCAAAUCGAUCGUC